rnacentral:rRNA from 1 species
AGUGAACGCUGGCGGUAGGCCUAACACAUGCAAGUCGAACGGCAGCACAGUAAGAGCUUGCUCUUACGGGUGGCGAGUGGCGGACGGGUGAGGAAUACAUCGGAAUCUACUUUUUCGUGGGGGAUAACGUAGGGAAACUUACGCUAAUACCGCAUACGACCUACGGGUGAAAGCAGGGGAUCUUCGGACCUUGCGCGAUUGAAUGAGCCGAUGUCGGAUUAGCUAGUUGGCGGGGUAAAGGCCCACCAAGGCGACGAUCCGUAGCUGGUCUGAGAGGAUGAUCAGCCACCCUGGAACUGAGACACGGUCCAGACUCCUACGGGAGGCAGCAGUGGGGAAUAUUGGACAAUGGGCGCAAGCCUGAUCCAGCCAUACCGCGUGGGUGAAGAAGGCCUUCGGGUUGUAAAGCCCUUUUGUUGGGAAAGAAAAGCAGCAGGUUAAUACCCCGCUGUUCUGACGGUACCCAAAGAAUAAGCACCGGCUAACUUCGU